rnacentral:lncRNA from 1 species
GUUCGGAUGCAUCUUCUCUCUCUUUAUUUCCGCAAGUCUACACAUUUAUAUACACUUACAUGACCAAUCAGCGAGCAGGGUACAGGAGGGAGCGAAUCAGGCUGUGCACCUAAACGAACAACUUCGCUAGCAACCAAUGCUGUUUACUUCCUCUUUGGGCGUUCCGCUUAGUCUCACGAGGCAAUCCUAACCUGGCAACUAGCCAGGCGCCAUCUUUUAAUGGUGGAGGCUGCCCUGGCCAGGGACCUGCCUCCGACAAAAAUGGUCUUCUCUGCCAAAUGUUGUUGAGAGAUCAAAUGGCGGAAGAAUCUGAGACAAAAUACAAGAAGCACAAGACAACUUUGAAAGCAAGCCUUGGCAUUCUGUGGCUGCAGGAAGGAAAGUGAAG